rnacentral:rRNA from 1 species
UAUCUCUGUAGAGUCUGCAUAUCAAUAAGCGGAGGAAAAAGAAACUAACUAGGAUUCCCUCAGUAACGGCGAGUGAAGCGGGAAGAGCUCAAAUUUGAAAUCUUCAAGGUUUUACCUUGACGAAUUGUAGUUUAAAGAAGUGUUUUCUGUUGGAGUUUUGGUAAAAGUUCUUUGGAAUAGGACAUCAUAGAGGGUGAGAAUCCCGUAUUUGACCAUUAUUUCCAGCUUUGUGAUACACUUUCAAAGAGUCGGAUUGUUUGGGAAUGCAGUCCAAAAUGGGCGGUAAAUUUCAUCUAAAGCUAAAUAUUGGCGAGAGACCGAUAGCGAACAAGUACCGUGAGGGAAAGAUGAAAAGAACUUUGAAAAGAGAGUUAAACAGUACGUGAAAUUGUCAAAAGGGAGGCGUUUGACACCAGUGUUGUUUCUACGAAAAUCAAUUUAUGAUGGCUUGAUGCUAAGCUUUAAGACUUUAUCCGCUUGUUGUUUAGUUUUCUUGUCUUUGUGAAUGCACUUUUCGUGGAACAAGUCAACAUCAAUUUCUUUUGCUGUAAAAGGGUAAGAGGAAGGUGGCUUCGGCUUCGGUUGAAGUGUUUAUAGCCUUUUAUCUCUGCAGUCGGAGAGAUUGAGGUCUGCAGCGUAGACUCUUCGGGGUUAGAUACGUCGGUGCUAAGCUAUAGCUUUUCAUAGACAACUUGUUGACUAUGUUUAGUCAUGUGGCUUACCCGCUGGCGCUAUUUUACCUACGCUUAGGAUGUUGAGUCAUCACACAUCUCU